rnacentral:lncRNA from 1 species
UCAAAAAUAAUAAUAAUNAUUUAAAAAAAAUAAUGUCGAUGAAUUUUAAGACCGUGCCGUAUUAAUUUAAGGCCACGAUGCAUCAGAUGCAUGUUAGUUUACAACAUCUCGUUGCUUGAGUUAGCAUAUAGGNCUCAAAUNAUAACCCAAUUGCAAAUACUACACGUUGAAACCUAAUGGAACACUGUUUGCUUGAAAUUCCAAUUUUCAAUGCAAGCCUACUGUGGUAUNUUUUUUUAUAUUCAGUAGAGAUUUGGUGUUUAUUUUCGUGUGGUUGUCAAACAACUAUGUUCUUGAGACAAAAUGUAAACAUUGUCGAAAUUAGCAAACAUCCAUUUUUAGGCGAUGAACUGAAAGAGGAGGGUCUGGGAACGAUGUUUAUUAGAUACCAAUGUUGUAAAGGAAAGACGAGUAAACGUUACUAUGGUUUACCACAUACGAUCUAGUGUCCCAUCUUCAGUGUAUCUUCAGUGAAGUCUUCCAUUGUCUACUGUUCUACAAUUUCAGUAUAACAGAUAAUUGACAAUUGGUAAUGCACAAAAUGGUAGCUCAUCGGACUGCUUUGUGGUUAGGAAUCCUUUACAUCGUCUGGUUGUGUCUCUACAUCACUUUCCUUGGCUGUGUUCUGUGGAAGUUCGUGGUGGAUAUGAGCUUUUNAAAUAUAAAUUACUUUUGUUCGUGGUUUAUCAUUAUACAAAUUAUUUUUUACUCUCUCUUCUUGACUUGCUAUACUUGCUCUUUGGACACUUUGAAGAACUACAUCAACGCAUUGUUAUUUCCUAUAGUAUCUGGGUCAGCUUGGACAAUCUUUUUUGUGUGUAUAACAGGAAAGAAAGCGUAUUUGGACUUUACAGACAUCAGGAACCGACUGUCAACAUGAAAACAAAUCAAGCAAAUCGUUAANAAUGUGGAUCAUCUUGUCACCUCUUCUUGUGCUUAUUCUUUAUAACAUGCAUAUUGAUAAAGAUGAGGUGUAUAUUUACCAGGUUAAGCCUCCUAGUAAUGAAGUGAUUUUUACCAUUUUGUAUCAUCGCCAAUUUGAGACUUGCAUAUUUCACACUCUCUCUUGCACAAUAAAUAUUUCUAUAAUAUCGCCAAAUCGAUACAAAUUACCAAUGUUUCAUUUCUAGGUCUAUUCUAAUAGAUGUNUAAUAUGAACCACCUAUUAGAAUCCACCAAACUAUGGGUAUCACAAAUCCAGCAAUCUGUUUGUAUAUUCGUUGACCAUGGUCGCAUCGUAUGAAGCAAAAAUAGUCGAAAAGUAGUGUAGAAAUUGUUCAGUUGUGACGGAUAUAGUUUCACAUUGAUNGUAUAGAUUGAUAGCCUGGUUCAGGAGGCUUUUUAUUCUUUUGCUUACUAUCGAGUGGCGAAGCGGCUAGACGUUUCCGUUAAUCGAGUAUAGAUCUAUUGAUCAGGUUUGUGACGAUGAAGAAAAAGUGGUGGAACUAGUUCACAAGUGGUGUUAUCAAUAGACACAGAAUCUUUAGAACUAAAAUUGAGUGAUUUGUCAUAGUUGAAUAACUAUCUUGGAUAUUUAGCGUACAGUUGUACAGUUGUUGUUCAUCUGGAGAAUUUAUAGACACAUUUUUGAAAAAUCAAUUUUCAUCAAUGAUGAGAUUAUGUCUUCUGAUUGUGCAAUAACAGUCUUUAGCUUCAAUAAAUGUGUUUUUUUUUUA